AUUGAACGCUGGCGGCAGGCCUAACACAUGCAAGUCGAGCGGAUGAAGGGAGCUUGCUCCUGGAUUCAGCGGCGGACGGGUGAGUAAUGCCUAGGAAUCUGCCUGGUAGUGGGGGAUAACGUCCGGAAACGGGCGCUAAUACCGCAUACGUCCUGAGGGAGAAAGUGGGGGAUCUUCGGACCUCACGCUAUCAGAUGUGCCUAGGUCGGAUUAGCUAGUUGGUGGGGUAAAGGCCUACCAAGGCGACGAUCCGUAACUGGGCUGAGAGGAUGAUCAGUCACACUGGAACUGAGACACGGUCCAGACUCCUACGGGAGGCAGCAGUGGGGAAUAUUGGACAAUGGGCGAAAGCCUGAUCCAGCCAUGCCGCGUGUGUGAAGAAGGUCUUCGGAUUGUAAAGCACUUUAAGUUGGGAGGAAGGGCAGUAAGUUAAUACCUUGCUGUUUUGACGGUACCAACAGAAUAAGCACCGGCUAACUUCGUG
rnacentral:rRNA from 1 species